rnacentral:rRNA from 1 species
UUAAAUGAAUUGACGGGGCCGCACAAGCGGAGGAACAUGUGGUUAAUCGAUGAUACGCGAGGAACCUUACCUGGGCUUAAAUGUAGAGUGCAUUUUUUAGAGAUAGAAAUCCCUUCGGGGCUUUCUGCAAGGUGCUGCAUGGUUGUCGUCAGCUCGUGCCGUGAGGUGUCGGGUUAAGUCCCAUAACGAGCGCAACCCUUAUCGUUAGUUGCCAGCUGGUAAAGCAGGGGACUCUAGCGAAACUGCCACCGUAAGGUGAGAGGAAGGUGGGAUGACGUCAAAUCAGCACGGCCCUUAUGUCCAGGGCUACACACGUGUUACAAUGGCCGGCACAGAGGGCAGCUACCUGGUGACAGGAUGCUAAUCUCGAAAACCGGUCUCAGUUCGGAUCGAAGUCUGCAACUCGACUUCGUGAAGCUGGAUUCGCUAGUAAUCGCGCAUCAGCCAUGGCGCGGUGAAUACGUUCCCGGGCCUU